AUCUCAGCCUGUUGCUCUGAGACAUGCUGUGUACACUGCAGAACACUUCAAGUCUUACAGAGCCCUUGAGUUUCUCAUAGAAUAUCCUGAUGAUCUUUUGGAAGGAGCAAGAGUUCACAAAUGAAACUAUGAUGAGAAGAUAAAAUAUUAUUUUUCAAAGGAUGCUGAGGAAUUCUGGGAAUGAGACUCCCACUCUUUGGUAUUUGGUGACCACUGGGAAUGAAGUUUGAGUACUGAAGACAACAUCUAUCAAAUUUAAGUCUCCUAUAUGAAGACAACUCUAGUCUAGCCACAUUUAUCCUUUUGGUUCAUGACUUAAAUAUGGUUUCAGG